CACGCAGUAAACGAUGCAGACUAGGCGUGGGGGGACUUGACCCCCUCCGUGCCGCAGCCAACGCGUGAAGUCUGCCGCCUGGGGAGUACGGCCGCAAGGCUAAAACUCAAAGGAAUUGACGGGGGCCCGCACAAGCGGCGGAGCGUGCGGUUUAAUUCGACGCAACGCGUAGAACCUUACCAGGGUUUGACAUGCACCUGCAGAGCCGUGAAAGCGGUUGGCCUUUGAGGGUGGUGCACAGGUGC
rnacentral:rRNA from 1 species